rnacentral:rRNA from 1 species
UACGGGGGGGGCAAGCGUUGUUCGGAAUUACUGGGCGUAAAGGGCUCGUAGGCGGCCAACUAAGUCAGACGUGAAAUCCCUCGGCUUAACCGGGGAACUGCGUCUGAUACUGGAUGGCUUGAGGUUGGGAGAGGGAUGCGGAAUUCCAGGUGUAGCGGUGAAAUGCGUAGAUAUCUGGAGGAACACCGGUGGCGAAGGCGGCAUCCUGGACCAAUUCUGACGCUGAGGAGCGAAAGCAUGGGGAGCGAACAGG